rnacentral:rRNA from 1 species
UACGGAGGUGGCAAGCGUUGCUCGGAAUCACUGGGCGUAAAGGGCGCGUAGGCGGGGAGGUAAGUCGGGUGUGAAAUCCCUCGGCCCAACCGAGGAACUGCGCCCGAGACUGCUUCUCUUGAGUCCCGGAGAGGAAGAUGGAAUUCCCGGUGUAGCGGUGAAAUGUGUAGAGAUCGGGAGGAACACCGGUGGCGAAGGCGGUCUUCUGGACGGUGACUGACGCUGAGGCGCGAAAGCGUGGGGAGCAAACGGGAUUAGAUACCCCGGUAGUCCACGCUGUAAACGAUGGGUGCUAGGUGUGGGGGGUAUCGACCCCUCCCGUGCCGAAGCUAACGCAUUAAGCACCCCGCCUGGGGAGUACGGCCGCAAGGUUGAA